rnacentral:lncRNA from 1 species
UGUGAGAAUCUAUCAGAUUACAGAAUAGCAUUAUCGGUGAUGUUUACUUCUUUUCUCCUCCCUUUUCUUUUUCUUAUGCUUCUUAGAACGCCCCUUGUUCGAGUGGCUUUUAUGUGUCUUUUUACUCUUUUUCCGCUUUUCUUCAUGAAGCUCGUCCUCAGAAGAUUCAUAUGAUUGCAACGACGAAGGCUUCAGCGGACCGUAAAUAGCACGACG